GCAACUAUAAGAAAUAACCUUAUUUUCUUUAUGAAUUACCCAGUCUCAGUAAUUCUGUUAUAGCAACAGAAAACAGCCCAAGACAGAAUUUCAAUUCCCUGGAGGCUGGUUUUUGUCUAUGGAGAAAAGCUAUAUUUGUCUAUGGAAAAAGCUAAGCUCCAUGAAGAUUCCAAAAGUCAGCUGAAGAGUCUUAGUGAAUGGAGAAGAGUCACUGAAGAACAAUUCAGUGGGAAUGAGGAACUCAAGCUAGGGUACCAGGAAAGAUCGUGUUGUGGUCUGGACCUUUAGUGUCCUCCAAAGGCCCAGUCUGGGGUGCUAUUGGGAGGUGAUGGAAUCCUUAGGAGGUGGGGCCUAAUGGGAGGCAGUUAGGUCAUUGAGGGCAUGCUCUCAAAGGUCUGUUGGGACCUCAGCUCCUCUCUCUCGUUCUUUCUUUCUCAGCUGCCACAAGGUGAGCUUCACUGCUCCACCAUGUACUCCCCACCCACCCUGAUGUUUGGCCUUGCCACAGGUCCAGUGUGAUGGGGCCAAGUGACUAUGGAUUAAGACCUCUGAAACCAUCAAAUAAAACUCUCCUCUUUGUAA